AAUACAUUAAAAACAAGCUUAGAAGAGGAUAAUUUAGGCUAAAAAGAGACGGAAAUGUGGGAGAUUAUGGGAGUGGUGAUAACUGACAAGUUAUCUUAUUAAGUGGGGGUAAUUAGAGUAAAUUAAUUUUGAAAUUGUAGCAGUGGAUUCUAGAUCAACAAUAGCGUAAAUAAUUUACAAGGCUGAUGAUCUUGCAGCUGGAGCUGUUUCUGUAGAUGGACUCUGUUCUUAACAUUAUUGGCCAUUUUCUCUGCUUCAGCCAUUCUAUUCAGAUAACCCAGGGGGGAUAUAGUUUAAAACUGGAAUCCCCACCCUUUUCGUCAGGCUGCCAAAGCAAACCAAAGAACAAGAAAUCCUCAUCAAAGGGAAGUAGCUUUUUAGAAAAAGAUGUCAUAGAAUUUUCCUUCAUACAUUUGUAUGUCUAUUCAUCCACCCAUCCAAGAUAUGGCUAUUACUACUGCAAUUACUACUACUAAUUCUACUAAAUAGUAUUAAAAAGUUUUAGAACUUAAUAUAUGCUUAGGUACUGUUUUGAGCACUUCACCUGCCUUAUCUUGCUUAUUUUAAUCAAUACCCUUGUGAAAUGUGCACAGAUGUUAAUCCCAAACUAAGGGCUCAGGGCAAUGAAGCAGCUUGCCCAAGAAAGCACAAUUUGUAAGAUCUUUGGUCUGAAUCCUAGCAGAAUGGAACCAGAGCCACACUCAAAAGUCCUGCUCUGUGCUAUGCAUUUGUCCUGUGCCAAUAUAAAGAACAGAAGCUCUUACUUGGAGACUUUGCAAUUCAGGAAGUAAAGGCAAGGGGAACAAAAAAAAUCCAGUUUUAAGAAUGAUAUUGGGAAGUUCCCUGGUGGCCUAGUGGUUAAGGAUUCAGAAUGGUCACUGCUGUGGCUCAGGUUUGAUUUGUGGUCUGGGAACUUCUACAUGAUUCUGGCACAGUCAAAAACAAAAACAAAAAGACAACAGAAUAUUGGGGGGUAGUGAAGAAAACAAGAAAAAAAGGGGCAGAGGGCUUGGGCUCUAGUCUCAUUUAUGAAUUUAUUUUUUCCCUUUUUAUGGCCACACCUGCAGCAUAUGGAAGUUCCCAGGCAAGGGGUCAAAUCUGAGCUUCAACUGCCGGCAGCCUAUGCCACCGCCAUAGCAACACAGUAUCUAAGCCACAUCUGCAACACCAGAUCCUUAACCCACUGAGCAAGGCUAGGGAUAGAACCCACAUCCUCAAGGAUACUAGUUGGGUUCUUAACACACUGAGCCACAAUGGGAACUCCCUUCGCUCAUUCCAUUGCAAGGAAUGGAAACUGUCCCUGACCACAGCUCCCUCCUGAAAAGACAGUCUCGGAGACAGAGUUUUGAGGAAGAGAGAGAAUAGCUUUAUUGCUUUGCUAGGCAAAGGAGGACCCAGCAGAUGAGUGCCUCAAAACUAUGUCCUGUCUUGAGAGGGGAGAGCACGGGGUUUUAUAGGUUUAGCUCAGAAGACAGGGUUGUUUAUUAAGGUGUCUGUAUUUUUCUUCAUCCAUAGAUCAUUUCAGAGUCAUCAUGUGCAGCGUCAGUGGGUCCGAUGAUGGUUUCUGGUUGUCUUUGGGGUUAACAUUCCUUGACCUUCUCUGUGGAAUGAAGAUUGCUCACAGGGAAGGGGUGUUAGAGGUGUUCUAGGUGCAAUAUAACUGGAAAGUAACCAUUAGUAAAAGAAAGCAGUUAAUCAAGGAAGAGAUCAUUUGUGAAAAGCCAGACGCUAGGUGCAAUAUAACUAUAACUAGAAAAUAAACAUGAGCAAUAAGUUAGUGGGCCAAGGCAGGACAUGAUGUAAUGGAGACUGUUUUAACUAGUGUUUAGCUGUAACAAUAUUUCCUAAUCAUCAACUCUUAAGUCAGCCUUUUGAGACUGAGGGGAGGCCUGGGAGACUAAAGGAAAGGGCUUUUACUUCAAAACACAAAGAUCAAGGGUCUGGUACACAGUUUUAGAACCACAGAUUUUUGCUCUCAAAUCCAAAGGACGACCUUACACUUGAAGUUCAAUGAGAGUCUUCUCUUCUGGUAGAUCAUUAAGACUUGAGCUCACUUAUGGGCACUCUUAAAAUCUAUCGCCUCAGUACUGUGCCUUAAAUUCAGUCUUUGUUCCUUUUACUCACAAAAACCCAACUAUCAUUUCUCAACCUUACUGAUUCCUUUUUAUAUUCCACUUGUUUAUCUGGCAUCUUCAUGUAUAUUAUCUCAUUGACUCUCCCUAGAAAUUCUGCCUCAUAAACAUUGUUAGGACCAUUUAAUAAGUAGCAGAAUCUCCAUGAAGACAGGUCAUUUAUCAGAGUCACAUAUGUUGGAGCAGGCCUGGGCCUCAAAUACAGAUCUUCUGACCCUAUGACCAUGGUUUGCCUUUUGUUUUUUUAUCUUUUUCCCUCUCUACAUCACACCGCCUCUUCAGGGUUUUGAAAGUGGCCUUUUGCUUUCAAGGGCACAUUGAGAUAAUUGCUCAUGUGCAUCCUGCUUAUGAUUCUGACCCCUUAAAAUUCAUGUGCCCUUAUCCAGCCCUACUUCCUAAGAACACUUAAUUUUUGAUGGCGCCACAGACCUAAGGAAAGAUAAAUAUUUUGUUUCUCCUUUUAUCUUCUGAAGGUGCCAUUUUGCUUGACUUGCUCACCUUCCCCCUUCCAGGAAGUUACUAGCAGGGUCAAUGGCUGCCAAUACAUCAAAGCACUUAGGAGCCAAUUACACAAGGAUAAAAUAGACACCUGACAGGAAAGAGCAUCCUCUGGCCUUGAUGGGCAGUUGAUUGACAAUUAAAGGGAUGAUUGAUGGCUUAAAGGAAAGACUAGCUACCUAUUCCAAGAGCACAUACAUAUUUGUACAUACAAAACAUAUUCAAAAACUUUUGAAUGAAACAAAAGUGACCCUAAACGUUCUCAUUCUUCCUGUCCAAAUCAGAGAAUGUAAACAGCUUGCCCAAAGGCAGAGAUGAUCAAGAGUCUAGGUUUCCUGACCUGCUCAGUUGUUCUUUCCCAGACAGGAUGUUGCCUCCCUGCCUUGGAGGAUAAAAUUCAAAGUUACCUGUGUCAUUUCCAAGGCACUCAAUGGUCUGAACUUCUUGAAAGUGAUCCUUCCUCCACCUCCCAGCUUAAAAGCCACUUCUUCCAAGAAGCCUUCCUGCUGCUCUCCAACCUUAGUUAAUUCCUCCCUUUUAUUUGCUUUUGCUGCAUUGUAAGAAUAUGUUGCAGCAACCAUCACAGUCCAGAGGUUUGGACUUAGGACAGUUCUUCUCUGACUUCCUGACUCCUGGUGGAGGGAGUCAAGACUAUAUGCAGGAUCCUUAGGGACCAGAAUCUAGGACUUACCCUCUCUGACCAGUAUUCUUUCUAUUACCCAGGUUCUCCAAGUGUCCUGAUGCUUUCAGGAUACACUGAUUAUGGACUCAGGCAGUAAGAUUCCCUCCAGCAAAAAUUUACCCUAACUUGCCUAAUAUUGAACCAAAGCUAAUCAGUACCAUUAAAUGGAAACAUCAUCUCCCUCAUAAACUUUGAAGUGUUCCUCCACCAAGCCCUAGGAGGUAUUUCUAACAGAUUUGUCAACUGGAAAAAGAUUAAAGAAACAACAGCAACAAAAAUCAGCAAUCACACUUCAGGCUUGAAGUGUUGGUUUCCAGUUGGUUUUAUCCAGCUCUAAUUGUGUUCUCCUUGGUGGAACCUUCCAGUUCUGACUCUGCUUGCCCCUGACUCCAACAGCCUCAUCCAAGAAUAAGGACUUGAUGCACAUUUAAGCAGUGGUUUUGUCCCAUCAGAGCCAGGAAGGGCAGGAUAUGUCCUAAACAUGCAAAGCUAUAGAAUGUGGACCUUAAACUCUGCCCCAAGCAAAUGGGCUUUAAAAUGAUGAUAGUUUUCAAAGUAUAGACAAUAUAGUAAACACUUACUGUGUGCCAAUAAUUAUUUCUUCUUUUUUCUUUAUUUGGAGUGAAGAGGAAGAAGAGUUUAUUGAGAUAAGAACACUAUUAGUACAGUAGGAUGACCUCCUGAUAAUCAGGGAGAGCCAAGUCCAAGCACUUGGUUGUGUCUGUUCUUAUAGCCCAGGGAGAGGGGAGAGAUCUUAUGAUACACCUGCUGACCUGCUGAUUGGUUGGGGGAAGAAGGGUCUUAAUAUACACUUACUGGUUGGUUGGGGGCAUAUAAUGCCCUUAUAGGGGUGGGGUGAGGAAUGGGCCACAUAUCUUUCCUAGUAGAGGGUAGAAAGGAAUAGGCCAAGAUGCUCAAGUUGGGGGAUGGGGCAUUACAAUGGAAUAGGUGGUAAAAAAAUAAGUAUCUGAUAAUUCUUAUCUUGGCCAGAGGCUUUGAGUACUAUUUCCCUGAAGAGGCCUUGAAGUACCACAUCCACUCCCACUUUUUCUUGAGGGCCAAGUCUUUGGCCCCUUUGACUUAUGCCAGUGAGACAGGCAUUGAGCAGAAUGUAGUGAAUCCAACCUGUGAACUAGGCUGUCUGGCCUUGGAGUCCAGGCUCUUGGUCACCAUGACUGGACAUCAGCAAUGAACUCCAGCUGGCUUGGCUGAAUGAGUGACUUCUGUAUUUACUCUUAAUAAAUCUGUUUUUCCUCUGCUAAGGUCUGCUCCUAACACAAAGAGUCACAGCUGAGUCUCUGUUCCACAGCCUUCAGACUACCCAGAGUUUGGAUUCUCCCAUCCUCUCUUGCCAGGAGUCUCCAUUAUCUUCCACUUUCGAGAUGAAUGCCAGUUCCAAGAGAGAUCUAGACUGCAGUGUCCAUGUGGGCAGUAGAUGGAGACAGCUCCCCUUCUGGUCCAUCAUGCUCACCUCACCCUAUAGCCCACAUCAUAGCCCAGAGGUAUUUUAUUUCCCUUUUCCAGUCUCUUUGCAAUUAUAUAUCAUCCUGAAAAUCUGGAAUAGGUCAGUUUACAAUAUUAUCUUUGAUUUUUGUGGAUAAUAUUAUCUGACUCCUCUCUUCCUCCCUGAAAAUCUUGAUUUGUCAGUGACUGGUGGAUAUUCAUGGCUUUCCCUGAAUAUGACAAAGGCCACCGAAACCAAGGGGAGAGAAUGUUGCAAAGCUAAUGAGACAUGUAUCAAAGUGGUUUUAAAGAUAGGCUUUGGGAGUUCCCAUCGUGGUGCAACGGAAACAAAUCCGACUAGGAACCAUGAGGUUUCAGGUUCGAUUCCUGGCCUUGCUCAGUGGGUUGAGGAUCCGGCCUUGCCACAAGCUGUGGUGUGGGUCGCUGACACAGCUUGGAUCCCGCAUUGCUGUGGCUCUGGUGUAGGCCGGGAGCUACAGCUCCAAUUAGACCCCUCACCUGGGAACCUCCAUAUGCUGCGGGUGUGGCCCAGAAAAGACAAAAAGACAAAAAUAAAUAAAUAAUUAAAACUAAAAUAAAAUAAAGAUAGGCUUUGGACUCAGAUUGCCUGGACUCAAAACCAGUCCCCAUCACUUACCACCUGCCUGAACCAGCAGGUCAUUUUAUCACUAUAAGCCCUAGACUUAAGAUUGCAGUGUUUCAUAGGGUUGUUACAAGAAUGCAAAGACUUCUCUCAUGUAAAAUUCAUCAUGUAUUUGCCUGGCACAUGUGAGUCCUGCAGUGUCAUCAUUGUACACUUUAUAGGAACAGACAUGAAAAGCCAGCAUCCAGGACUAGGGACCAGAAAUUUGAAGAUUUGAGAAUGGGAAGCAAUGGAUUGAGCAUAUAAGUGGGAUGUGGAAACUCUUUCUUGUCCAUAGUUGUAUUUUGUGUGCAAUUCUUACAAGCUGUGUGAAAGAAUUAACUUCUUCUAAAGGGCCUGAGGCAGGCAGUAGCCAUCCUUGGGUCUCCAAAUCAUGUUGAUUAAAUUAAAAAUAAGCAGAAACAUUUGUCUUGAAUAAUCUGGAAUAUUGAGGUAAGAAGAGUCCAGGAGUAGAAGAAUAUUUUGUUCAAUCACUUGCUUACUUGUUGCUUAGGGGAAAUUGACCUUAUAAAAUUAAUUUUUAUAGAAAAACAGGUUUUUUAAAAUUAAUAUAAUUCUUGAAACAUAUACAGGGAAGAAAUAUAUUUGUAAGUUACUACUUAACAUAAGACUCAGCACCUGCAGUAUCACUGAAGAACUUAAAUCGCCCCACUCAAAUCCUUUCUCCUUCCUCCUUUCUAGAGUUAACUUAUGUCUUGAAUGGUAUAUUUAUGCUUUUCUGAUGUUUUUAAAAUAUAGAUUUACUAUGUGUGUCCAUAUCCCAAACAUAUUAUUUAGCUUGUUUAUGUUUGAGCUUUAAAAAAGGUAUUAUAAGUAGUCUUCUGAAAUUUGCUUUUAUUUUGAUUUGAUAUGUUUAAAAUCCAUCUAUAUCACUGAGUAUAACUAUGAUUCAUUCAUUUUCCCUACUAUAUAAUAUUCUACCAUGUGGAACCAUAUAAAUGAAUAUUCAUGGCAAUGUGGUUAACAGCACAGAUGCAGUUCUGUUAUCUCAUCCAUAUUUUUCCAAUGAUUCAAAUCUAGUUGCUUUUUGGCUUCCAGGCUUCUCCAUCUCUAAACCAAUUUUUGUAAUUGGCAUCAGAGUUCUCUUCCUGAAUUCAAAUCGGAGACCUCUAUUAAUCCUUCCCCCACUUUAAAGCCUUUGUGAUUUCCUUUCUGCUCCCAAGAUAAAACCUAAUUUGUUGAUCCUGCCACCUUGGCCCAUCAUGGCCCCACAGCAAUAUUCCAUUUGAGUCUCAUCUCCAACUAUAAAUUCUCCCCAACCCAUCUUUCUCUAGCCUACUGUUUCUUUUCUAGACCACACAGGAGUACUACCACUCCCCGAAAACAACCACACUUUUUCUGUGCUUUUCCUCAGGCAGUUUUCUUUACCAAGAAUGCCUUCUUCUUUAUUGGGACAAUAAAAACCUCUUCUGUGAAGUCUUCCUAGUU
ensembl:lncRNA